AUCUAGCUGACGAGUCCCAAAUAGAACGAAACGCGCGUCAAACUGGAU
rfam:Schistosoma rodhaini strain Burundi genome assembly, scaffold: SROB_scaffold0009145